UGUAAGCGUAUACCAAAGUUGUUGCAGUUAAAACGCUCGUAGUCGGACUUCGGCAGUUCCGGAUGUGUGCACGUCGUGUGCGCACUUCGCGGGGAUUGCUUUUGUGGUCUUGCGUAGGAUGAGGCACUUUUAUUAGUGAACGUCCUCACGCAACCACUUUUUACUGUGAGAAAAUCAGAGUGCUCAAAGCAGGCAUUUGCCGUGAAUGUAUUAGCAUGGAAUAAUAGAAUAGGACUUGGUUCUAUUUUGUUGGUUUGUUGGGACUGAGUAAUGAUUAAGAGGGACAGUUGGGGGCAUUUGUAUUUCGGUGCUAGAGGUGAAAUUCUUAGAUUACCGAAAGACAAACUGCUGCGAAAGCGUCUGCCAAGGAUGUUUUCAUUGA
rnacentral:rRNA from 1 species